rnacentral:rRNA from 1 species
UUGACCUCGAAUCAGGUAGGAAUACCCGCUGAACUUAAGCAUAUCAAUAAGCGGAGGAAAAGAAACCAACAGGGAUUGCCCCAGUAACGGCGAGUGAAGCGGCAACAGCUCAAAUUUGAAAUCUGGCUCUCGGGCCCGAGUUGUAAUUUGUAGAGGAUGCUUUUGGUGAGGUGCCUUCCGAGUUCCCUGGAACGGGACGCCAUAGAGGGUGAGAGCCCCGUCUGGUUGGACACCGAUCCUCUGUAAAGCUCCUUCGACGAGUCGAGUAGUUUGGGAAUGCUGCUCUAAAUGGGAGGUAUAUGUCUUCUAAAGCUAAAUACCGGCCAGAGACCGAUAGCGCACAAGUAGAGUGAUCGAAAGAUGAAAAGAACUUUGAAAAGAGAGUUAAACAGUACGUGAAAUUGUUGAAAGGGAAGCGCUUGUGACCAGACUUGGGCUUGGUUGAUCAUCCGGGGUUCUCCCCGGUGCACUCUUCCGGCUCAGGCCAGCAUCAGUUCGCCCUGGGGGAUAAAGGCUUCGGGAAUGUGGCUCUCUCCGGGGAGUGUUAUAGCCCGCUGCGUAAUACC